rnacentral:rRNA from 1 species
AGGGCUGGAUCCUUUGGGGUUUUACAGCCUUGCUGAAUUAUUCACCCGUGUCUUUUGCGUACUUCUUGUUUCCUUGGUGGGUUCGCCCACCAUAGGACAAACCAUUAAACCUUUUGUAAUGGCAAUCAGCGUCAGUAAAAAAAUUAAUAAUUACAACUUUUAACAACGGAUCUCUUGGUUCUGGCAUCGAUGAAGAACGCAGCGAAAUGCGAUAAGUAGUGUGAAUUGCAGAAUUCAGUGAAUCAUCGAAUCUUUGAACGCACAUUGCGCCCUUUGGUAUUCCAAAGGGCAUGCCUGUUCGAGCGUCAUUUGUACCCUCAAGCUUUGCUUGGUGUUGGGCGUCUUGUCUCCAGUUCGCUGGAGACUCGCCUUAAAGUAAUUGGCAGCCGGCCUACUGGUUUCGGAGCGCAGCACAAGUCGCGCUCUCUUCCAGCGAAGGUCAGCAUCCACAAAGCCUUUUUUCAACUUUUGACCUCGGAUCAGGUAGGGAUACCCGCUGAACUUAAGCAUAUCAAUAA